rnacentral:rRNA from 1 species
GUAACGGCGAGUGAAGCGGCAACAGCUCAAAUUUGAAAUCUGGCCCCCCGCGGGCCCGAGUUGUACUUUGGAGAGGACGCUUCUGGCGCGGCGCCGUCCGAGUUCCCUGGAACGGGACGCCGGAGAGGGUGAGAGCCCCGUACGGGCGGCCGCCUAGCCUCUGCGAAGCUCCUUCGACGAGUCGAGUAGUUUGGGAAUGCUGCUCAAAAUGGGAGGUAAAUUUCUUCUAAAGCUAAAUACCGGCCAGAGACCGAUAGCGCACAAGUAGAGUGAUCGAAAGAUGAAAAGCACUUUGAAAAGAGGGUCAAACAGUACGUGAAAUUGUUGAAAGGGAAGCGCCUGUGGCCAGACUUGCGCCCCGCGGACCACCCGGCGCCUCGCGCGCCGGGGCACGCCAGCGGGGCGCAGGCCAGCAUCGGCUCUCUCGGGGGGACAAAGGCCGCGGGAACGUAGCGCCCUCGCGGCGUAUUAUAGCCCGCGGCGCCAUGCCCCCGGGGGGGCCGAGGACCGCGCUCCGGCAAGGAUGCUGGCGUAAUGGCCACCGGCGACCCGUCUUGAAACACGGACCAAGGAGUCAAGCAUUGGGGCGAGUGUCUGGGUGGCAAGCCCGCACGCGGAAUGAAAGUGAACGCAGGUGGGAGCUUCGGCGCACCACCGACCGAUCCUGAUGUCCUCGGAUGGAUUUGAGUAGGAGCCCCGCCGCUUGGACCCGAAAGAUGGUGAACUAUGCCUGUAUAGGGUGAAGCCAGAGGAAACUCUGGUGGAGGCCCGCAGCGGUUCUGACGUGCAAAUCGAUCGUCAA